rnacentral:rRNA from 1 species
AGUCGAACGGAACUUCUUUAAAGGAUUUCUUCGGAAUGAAUUUGAUUAAGUUUAGUGGCGGACGGGUGAGUAACGCGUGAGUAACCUGCCUCUAAGAGGGGAAUAACAUUCUGAAAAGAAUGCUAAUACCGCAUAACAUAUAUUUAUCGCAUGGUAGAUAUAUCAAAGAUUUAUCGCUUAGAGAUGGACUCGCGUCCGAUUAGUUAGUUGGUGAGGUAACGGCUCACCAAGACCGCGAUCGGUAGCCGGACUGAGAGGUUGAACGGCCACAUUGGGACUGAGACACGGCCCAGACUCCUACGGGAGGCAGCAGUGGGGGAUAUUGCGCAAUGGGGGAAACCCUGACGCAGCAACGCCGCGUGAAGGAUGAAGGUCUUCGGAUUGUAAACUUCUUUUAUUAAGGACGAAGAAAGUGACGGUACUUAAUGAAUAAGCUCCGGCAACUACGUGCCAGCAGCCGCGGUAAUACGUAGGGAGCAAGCGUUGUCCGGAUUUACUGGGUGUAAAGGGUGCGUAGGCGGCUUUGCAAGUCAGAUGUGAAAUCUAUGGGCUCAACCCAUAGCCUGCAUUUGAAACUGCAGAGCUUGAGUGAAGUAGAGGCAGGCGGAAUUCCC